rnacentral:misc_RNA from 1 species
GAUGAAGAACGUAGUGAAAUGCGAUAAGUAGUGUGAAUUGCAGAAUUCCGUGAAUCAUCAAAUCUUUGAACGCACAUUGCGCCUUCUGGUAUUCCGGAAGGCAUGCCUGUUCGAGAGUCAUUAACAACCGUUUCGAUCCCUUUCUUUCAGAAAUUACAAAGAGGAAAAGGGUUUGGUUAUGGUGGAGGAGGGAAAGGGAGCGUUUAGCCUGUAAAAAAAGAGGCUGUGUUCCGCCUCCCCCCCAAAAUUGUACAGGCGGUCGUGUGCGCCCACGCAUCGAGGUGUUGUAAAAGCUGCCACGGCACUUUUCACCUGUGCAGUGCGAGAUUGGCCAGCCGGUUUAAAAACCCCUCCAAACAAUCAAAGGUUGACCUCGGAUCAGGUAGGGAUACCCGCUGAACUUAAGCAUAUCAAUAAGCGGAGGA